GAUGAACGCUGGCGGCGUGCCUAAUACAUGCAAGUCGAGCGAACGGACGAGAAGCUUGCUUCUCUGAUGUUAGCGGCGGACGGGUGAGUAACACGUGGAUAACCUACCUAUAAGACUGGGAUAACUUCGGGAAACCGGAGCUAAUACCGGAUAAUAUUUUGAACCGCAUGGUUCAAAAGUGAAAGACGGUCUUGCUGUCACUUAUAGAUGGAUCCGCGCUGCAUUAGCUAGUUGGUAAGGUAACGGCUUACCAAGGCAACGAUGCAUAGCCGACCUGAGAGGGUGAUCGGCCACACUGGAACUGAGACACGGUCCAGACUCCUACGGGAGGCAGCAGUAGGGAAUCUUCCGCAAUGGGCGAAAGCCUGACGGAGCAACGCCGCGUGAGUGAUGAAGGUCUUCGGAUCGUAAAACUCUGUUAUUAGGGAAGAACAUAUGUGUAAGUAACUGUGCACAUCUUGACGGUACCUAAUCAGAAAGCCACGGCUAACUACGUGCCAGCAGCCGCGGUAAUACGUAGGUGGCAAGCGUUAUCCCGGAUUAUUGGGCGUAAAGCGCGCGUAGGCGGUUUUUUAAGUCUGAUGUGAAAGCCCACGGCUCUUCCGUGGAGGGUCAUUGGAAACUGGAAAACUUGAGUGCAGAAGAGGAAAGUGGAAUUCCAUGUGUAGCGGUGAAAUGCGCAGAGAUAUGGAGGAACACCAGUGGCGAAGGCGACUUUCUGGUCUGUAACUGACGCUGAUGUGCGAAAGCGUGGGGAUCAAACAGGAUUAGAUACCCUGGUAGUCCACGCCGUAAACGAUGAGUGCUAAGUGUUAGGGGGUUUCCGCCCCUUAGUGCUGCAGCUAACGCAUUAAGCACUCCGCCUGGGGAGUACGACCGCAAGGUUGAAACUCAAAGGAAUUGACGGGGACCCGCACAAGCGGUGGAGCAUGUGGUUUAAUUCGAAGCAACGCGAAGAACCUUACCAAAUCUUGACAUCCUUUGACAACUCUAGAGAUAGAGCCUUCCCCUUCGGGGGACAAAGUGACAGGUGGUGCAUGGUUGUCGUCAGCUCGUGUCGUGAGAUGUUGGGUUAAGUCCCGCAACGAGCGCAACCCUUAAGCUUAGUUGCCAUCAUUAAGUUGGGCACUCUAAGUUGACUGCCGGUGACAAACCGGAGGAAGGUGGGGAUGACGUCAAAUCAUCAUGCCCCUUAUGAUUUGGGCUACACACGUGCUACAAUGGACAAUACAAAGGGCAGCGAAACCGCGAGGUCAAGCAAAUCCCAUAAAGUUGUUCUCAGUUCGGAUUGUAGUCUGCAACUCGACUACAUGAAGCUGGAAUCGCUAGUAAUCGUAGAUCAGCAUGCUACGGUGAAUACGUUCCCGGGUCU
rnacentral:rRNA from 1 species